ACUGCCGAGUUUCGUCGGAUGCACCAACGAGUUCGGAACUCCUCGUGGAAGGCCGAUCCUCUAUCUAACAUGAAGGAAGACUAGAAGAGAGUCCGAAGAAAAGGGUGGAGAAGAAUAAUACAAGAAGAAGAAAAGUGCAUCGCGUCAAGCUCUUAGUUUCAGGUUAGGAGCCUGCUAGGACGGGUCUCGUUCUCUCUUCUUGAGGCACCCGGACGAGAGCGGCGGCGGUGGUGGCGGCGGCGGCGGACGGGCGUUCGCAGACCGGUCGCGACUACGAGUGAAUGCACGAAACGUGGAGAGAAAGAGAGAGAGAGAGACAGAGAG